rnacentral:rRNA from 1 species
UACGUAGGGUGCAAGCGUUAAUCGGAAUUACUGGGCGUAAAGCGUGCGCAGGUGGUUGCGUAAGUCUGAUGUGAAAUCCCCGAGCUUAACUUGGGAACUGCAUUGGAGACUGCGCGGCUAGAGUGCGUCAGAGGGGGGUAGAAUUCCACGUGUAGCAGUGAAAUGCGUAGAGAUGUGGAGGAAUACCGAUGGCGAAGGCAGCCCCCUGGGAUAGCACUGACAAUCAUGCACGAAAGCGUGGGGAGCAAACAGG